AGCGAACGCUGGCGGCAGGCCUAUCACAUGCAAGUCGAACGAACCUUUCGGGGUUAGUGGCGGACGGGUGAGUAACACGUGGGAACGUGCCUUUAGGUUCGGAAUAACUCAGGGAAACUUGUGCUAAUACCGAAUGUGCCCUUCGGGGGAAAGAUUAAUCGCCUUUAGAGCGGCCCGCGUCUGAUUAGCUAGUUGGUUGAGGUAAUGGCUCACCAAGGCGACGAUCAGUAGCUGGUCUGAGAGGAUGAUCAGCCACAUUGGGACUGAGACACGGCCCAAACUCCUACGGGAGGCAGCAGUGGGGAAUCUUGCGCAAUGGGCGAAAGCCUGACGCAGCCAUGCCGCGUGAAUGAUGAAGGUCUUAGGAUUGUAAAAUUCUUUCACCGGGGACGAUAAUGACGGUACCCGGAGAAGAAGCCCCGGCUAACUUCGUG
rnacentral:rRNA from 1 species